rnacentral:rRNA from 1 species
CCUACGGGAGGCAGCAGUGAGGAAUAUUGGUCAAUGGACGAGAGUCUGAACCAGCCAAGUAGCGUGAAGGAUGACUGCCCUAUGGGUUGUAAACUUCUUUUAUAUGGGAAUAAAAUGUUCCACGUGUGGGAUUUUGUAUGUACCAUAUGAAUAAGGAUCGGCUAACUCCGUGCCAGCAGCCGCGGUAAUACGGAGGAUCCGAGCGUUAUCCGGAUUUAUUGGGUUUAAAGGGAGCGUAGGUGGAUUGUUAAGUCAGUUGUGAAAGUUUGCGGCUCAACCGUAAAAUUGCAGUUGAAACUGGCAGUCUGGAGUACAGUAGAGGUGGGCGGAAUUCGUGGUGUAGCGGUGAAAUGCUUAGAUAUCACGAAAAACUCCGAUUGCGAAGGCAGCUCACUGGACUGCAACUGACACUGAGGCUCGAAAGUGUGGGUAUCAAACAGGAUUAGAUACCCCUGUAGUC